rnacentral:rRNA from 1 species
GACGAACGCUGGCGGCGUGCUUAACACAUGCAAGUCGAACGGAAAGGCUCCAGCUUGCUGGAGUACUCGAGUGGCGAACGGGUGAGUAACACGUGGGUAAUCUGCCCUGCACUCUGGGAUAAGCCUGGGAAACUGGGUCUAAUACUGGAUAUGACCUUUCUCCUUAUGGGGUUUGGUGGAAAGUUUUUCGGUGUAGGAUGAGCCCGCGGCCUAUCAGCUUGUUGGUGGGGUGAUGGCCUACCAAGGCGACGACGGGUAGCCGGCCUGAGAGGGUGAUCGGCCACAUUGGGACUGAGAUACGGCCCAGACUCCUACGGGAGGCAGCAGUGGGGAAUAUUGCACAAUGGGCGGAAGCCUGAUGCAGCGACGCCGCGUGAGGGAUGACGGCCUUCGGGUUGUAAACCUCUUUCAGCAGGGACGAAGCGUAAGUGACGUUACCUGCAGAAGAAGCACCGGCUAACUAUGUG